rnacentral:ncRNA from 1 species
AGCCCGGGCUGUUGAAAUGCUCGUGGAGACGUCAUCGUUGCGAUUGUGGACGGCAGCACGCGCCUUAGGCGGGUCUCGGCACGUGCGGGCUCCGGGCGUCGGCCUGUGGGCUCCCCAUUCGCCCCGUCUUGAAACACGGACCAAGGAGUCUGACAUGUGUGCGAGUCAACGGGUGAGUAAACCCGUAAGGCGUAAGGAAGCUGAUUGGU